GUGUAUGAUAGCAGUGUGUAUAUGGUAGUAGUACUGUGUGUAUGGUAGCAGAGUGAAUGUUUGUAUUAUGUGCAUAUUAGUAAGUUUUAUGCUAGUAAUAGUUUUAUGCUAGCACAUAAAGUAUUACCUGUCGAUUACCUGUUGAUAAUUUCGAGAGCUCCUCUGCUCCCACGGAAGAAAUAAGUGCAGCUUUUUACUUACUAUUGACACUUUAUUUACAUUACUUAUUUACACAUUACUUAUAUUUAUUGGCCGGAGACUGAAGAGUCGUUUACAGUGUAUUUUGUAACUGUGAUAAAUGUACACAUUACAUUCAUUGGCUAUAUUUUUCAGUUUCUGCCAUAUCUCUCUUGUAUGUUGCUAUUUUAUUGAGCAGUUUCGGGAUCUGACUUUAAAAUAUCUUCCAUAUGGAUGAUAUGAGAGAUCUCUAUUGACAUUCUUGUAAGGGAUACUGUGUUUUGUGUAUGGGAAUAACAGUAGAGUGUUUAUGAUACAGUAUGUAUGGCCAGAGUCUUACUCCACAAGAUGAUUUUGGUGUUCGGAAGCGAGUCCUAAUCUCCCUAUAUAUAUGUGCUCGGAAUUUAGGAGUUUUAGAUUUUGAUCGCAAAACAGGUUCUGUAAAUGAGUUCAAUUAAAUGCAACUUAUUAAUAAUAUUUCCUGCAGGUUAUAAACCAAUCUGAGUGACUUUUGCUGCAGAAAAUUGGGUUUGAACUGGUAAACACCAAGUUCCACCCCCCCUUAGACACCCCCCUCUCUCCCUUGUCCUUGACACCCUCCCCCCCCCCAUCCCUUCAACAGCACAAGCACCUAAACCAGUCGGUGUGUACUCAUCUAAUUGUGCUUGCGGGUCUUGAGCUUUGGUCCCGCCUCUCAAAUGUCAAUCAACUAGUGUGUGUGUGUGUGUGUGUGUGUCCUUCUGGUGCACCCAAGGUCGCCCAAGGUCAGGAAAAACUCAAUUCCCAUUUUUGUAUUCGCAGACAAGAAAAUAUUAAAAUUGUCGAUUGUUUGUACAAGCGGUUUCGUUUUGACCAAUUAUCCAAACACGAACACUACAUGUCCAGACGAACAGUUAAAACAUUUUGCAGUCUUAUUGUGAACAAAUAUUACGUUUUAUUGAAAUGUUACGAAAUAGUAAACUGCGAAAAUGAAAGUUUCCUGUAGGUCAAUAGCUCAUGUUGGCAUCACCUGACCUGGCAGGAGUAUAUAAAGUCUGGGGUUUGGUACCCCAGACACACUCCUUCACAACUUCUUCUGUUGUUACCAACUCCUCCGCCAACAUGAAGAUCUUUGCGAUGCUGAUGGCUGUUCUGGCGGUGCUGUUCGCAGUCUUGGGGACUGCCAAUGGCGUGAAAUCUCAAUAUUGUACGUUCUCACGUCACAGUGCCCGCGCUGCUCGCUCACCCGAUCCAAUCCCCGAUGCCUCUGCUCAAAAUAAGAAAAAAUAAAUAAGAAAAUGUGGUAAUAGGUACCCCGGAUGAUCCAUGCAUUAGCUCUCUUCUAAUAAAUAUAUAUAACGGAAAUAUCCAUUAUAUUCCUGCUGACCCCCACUACCAUCGUAGCCACUGGCAGUGCCCACUACCACCGUGCCCACUACCAUCGUGCCCACCACCGGUGCCCACUACCAGUGCCCACUGCCGUGGAUGAAGGGCAAGGGGGGAGUGGAACAUCAACGUGUCCACCACAAACACAGAGCCGUUGGUGACAGGGUACCAUGAAGGACUUGUUAUAAAAUCUUCGUGUAAUAUGAUGCAUCACAAUAAACUUUUGCAUCGUUUAAGAGGAACAACUUUGCUGUUCUUACACUUCUUCUAAUGUGACAUUGUUAAUAAAUCGUAUUGCAUGUA